UACGGGGGGGGCAAGCGUUGUUCGGAAUUACUGGGCGUAAAGGGCUCGUAGGUGGCCAACUAAGUCAGACGUGAAAUCCCUCGGCUUAACCGGGGAACUGCGUCUGAUACUGGAUGGCUUGAGUUUGGGAGAGGGACGCGGAAUUCCAGGUGUAGCGGUGAAAUGCGUAGAUAUCUGGAGGAACACCGGUGGCGAAGGCGGCGUCCUGGACCAACACUGACACUGAGGAGCGAAAGCCAGGGGAGCGAAACGGG
rnacentral:rRNA from 1 species